rnacentral:rRNA from 1 species
UACGGAGGGUGCAAGCGUUAUUCGGAUUUAUUGGGCGUAAAGAGCGUGUAGGUGGUCAGGUCAGUCAGAUGUGAAAUCCUUCCGCUCAAGGGAAGAAGUACGUCUGAAACUACCUGACUUGAGUACGAGAGAGGAAAGUGGAAUUCCCAGUGUAGAGGUGAAAUUCGUAGAUAUUGGGAGGAACACCUGUGGCGAAGGCGACUUUCUGGAUCGAUACUGACGCUGAGACGCGAAAGCGUGGGGAGCAAACAGGAUUAGAUACCCCCGUA